CACACCGCCCGUCACACCAUGAGAGCUGUUUGUACCCGAAGCUAUUUUAGCCAACCUGAAAAGGAGGCGGAUAUUUAAGGUAUGUAUGGUGAUUGGGGUG
rnacentral:rRNA from 1 species